AUUGAACGCUGGCGGAAUGCUUUACACAUGCAAGUCGAGCGGCAGCGCGGGGGCAACCCUGGCGGCGAGCGGCGAACGGGUGAGUAAUACAUCGGAACGUGUCCUUAAGUGGGGGAUAGCUCGGCGAAAGCCGGAUUAAUACCGCAUAAGCUCUGAGGAGGAAAGCGGGGGCUCCGUAAGGACCUCGCGCUGUUGGAGCGGCCGAUGUCGGAUUAGCUAGUUGGUGGGGUAAAGGCCCCACCAAGGCGACGAUCCGUAGCUGGUCUGAGAGGAUGAUCAGCCACACUGGAACUGAGACACGGUCCAGACUCCUACGGGAGGCAGCAGUGGGGAAUUUUGGGCAAUGGGCGAAAGCCUGACCCAGCAACGCCGCGUGAGGGAGGGAAAUCCUU
rnacentral:rRNA from 1 species